rnacentral:rRNA from 1 species
GAUGAACGCUGGCGGCGUGCCUAAUACAUGCAAGUCGAGCGAACAGACGAGGAGCUUGCUCCUCUGACGUUAGCGGCGGACGGGUGAGUAACACGUGGAUAACCUACCUAUAAGACUGGGAUAACUUCGGGAAACCGGAGCUAAUACCGGAUAAUAUAUUGAACCGCAUGGUUCAAUAGUGAAAGACGGUUUUGCUGUCACUUAUAGUUGGAUCCGCGCCGCAUUAGCUAGUUGGUAAGGUAACGGCUUACCAAGGCAACGAUGCGUAGCCGACCUGAGCGGGUGAUCGGCCACACUGGAACUGAGACACGGUCCAGACUCCUACGGGAGGCAGCAGUAGGGAAUCUUCCGCAAUGGGCGAAAGCCUGACGGAGCAACGCCGCGUGAGUGAUGAAGGUCUUCGGAUCGUAAAACUCUGUUAUUAGGGAAGAACAAAUGUGUAAGUAACUAUGCACGUCUUGACGGUACCUAAUCAGAAAGCCACGGCUAACUACGUG